UGCGAACUUUAUGUAUAGGGUUUAUUAGAAAAUGAACUAGGCACGUACCCAUGUCGCAGAUGAUUGUCAUGAGCGGAACGUCAUGGUUAGGUUGCCAUAAAUGAAGUGUCGUAGACGGACUGUCCCGGGCGAGCUGUCAUCGACAUACUUCUGAUUCCGAUCAGGCUUCUUACUCCGGGAUGGUUGCGCGAACGAUCUGUGAGGACAGUGUUCU
rnacentral:lncRNA from 1 species